rnacentral:tRNA from 1 species
UGGCUCAAUGAUAGAGCACUUGCCUGGCAUGUAUGAGGCACUGAGUUCUAUUCUCAG